AACGAACGCUGGCGGCGCGCCUAACACAUGCAAGUCGAACGAGAAGGCGUAGCAAUACGCUUGUAGAGUGGCGAACGGGUGAGUAAUACGUGGGUGACCUACCCUCGAGUGGGGAAUAACCCGCCGAAAGGCGGGCUAAUGCCGCGUACGCUUCCGUCCUCACGGGGACGGAAGGAAAGCUGUACCGUGGGUACGGCGCUCAAGGAUGGGCUCACGUCCUAUCAGCUUGUUGGUAGGGUAACGGCCACCAAGGCUACGACGGGUAGCUGGUCUGAGAGGACGAUCAGCCACACUGGCACUGCGACACGGGCCAGACUCCUACGGGAGGCAGCAGUGAGGAAUAUUGCGCAAUGGGCGAAAGCCUGACGCAGCGACGCCGCGUGGGGAUGAAGGG
rnacentral:rRNA from 1 species